AAUCUGCCAGGAGAUGAUAUUGUCUGUUGUGAAUAUGAAUAUGACAUUCAUAUUGGCACACUUUCAAAUGUGUUGCUAAAAUU